rnacentral:antisense_RNA from 1 species
CUCCUUGUUCUGCUCGGCCGCCUCGGUGAGCUUGGCGUAGCGGCAUUUGAACCACUCUUCGGCCUGGUGCAUAUUCUGGUCUGAGUGGCUUUCGAGCUGGGAGCGGAUUUCCUUCAGCGCCGUCGAGAUGUCUGUCUUCAGGUAGUCUUUGCGCUCCACCGUGAUGUGCGAUGCCUGGAUCUGGGCCAGAAGGUCGGCCACCUCUUCCUCGUGGUUGCUCCGCAGGAAGGCCACCUCAUCCUGCAGCGACUGCACCUUCUUGUCCAGCUCCACCUUGACCAGCGACGCCUCCUCGAUGUCUUUGCGCAGCGCGCGGAUGGCCGCCUCAGUGUCGUCGCGCAACCGCGCCUCCUCCUCGAAGCGCUCCUUUAGCCGGUGGAUGUCUUCCUCCAGGUGGUCCGAGUCCAGCUGCACCUGAGCCUUCUCGUGGUUCACCAUCUCCAGGGUGGCGCGCAGCUCGCGGAUCUCCUGGUCGUACGCGUCGCCCAGCUGGGCGUGCGAGGCCUGCUUCUGCCGCAGCGCCUGGAUCUCCGCCUCAAUCUCCUUAUUCUGCUGCUCCAGGUAGUGCACCUUCUCUAUGUAGCCGGCGAAGCGGUCGUUCAGCCCCUGCAGCUGCUCCUUCUCGUUGGAACGGGACAGCUUGUAGUCGCCGCCGGGUCCGGAGCCGCCGUUGAGCAGGGACGAGGACUGGCUGAAGUCAAGGCUGCUCUCGGCGGAGCUGAGCAUGGCCGAGCUGUAGGCGAGGCGCGGGGCGAGCAUGCUGCGCUUGUAGGAGGAGGACACGGUGCUGGGCGAGCCGCGGGACCACGACUGCGAGCGGAAGCCGCUGGACGGGGAGCCGCUGACGCGGCUGAAGCUCGAGCGGGUCUCGGUUACCCGCCGGUAGGCGGACGGGUUGCCCAGCGAGUCCAACGUGUAGCUCAUCUUGGAGGCCUUGGGGUGUGUGGCUGUCACAGCGUUCUGCCGGCCUCGCCGCAGCCCGUUUAUAGCCGCGGCGCUGGUCCCGGGCCAGGGCCCCGCCCCGUGGAGGCGGCGGCCGAGGAGGCGGGGACUGCGGGCACCGGUCGGGGAGGAGGGGAGGGGGGCGGCUGAACGGUGAUUCAGCGCCCGCUCCACGUGGGCCCAGGCCGCAUGGGAACCUGGACUUUUCUGCCCUGGGCCCAGCCCCUCCCCCAGGUCCCCUUUCAGUCCCAGGCUACUUGUAGCCGGGCAUUCGCCUUCUUUCCAUUUCUCACUUCCCAAUUGCGUUUCGCACCCUUGGUGCGAAUAUCGCCAGCGCCCUUUCUUUGUCACUGUCCGGCCGUUCGGGCAGCGCUUCCCCGACCCCGUGGUCCCCUUGUUCUUUAGCCUUCUACCCUCUUAUCCUCAAGGCUUUCUCUUAUUUUGCCCUUUCCCCGAUACUUUUUUCUUUACCCAUCUUCUGUGCUUAAUUUCAUCCUCUUCUUUUUUGGCCCCUCUUCUCCCUCCUACUCUGUCUGGCCUUUAGUCCGGUUCACCCUGCCCUUCUCUCAGCCCCUUCCUCGGGGACCCUUUUCUUCCAAUCUUUCCUUCUCCCCGUCUCCUCCCUCCCUCCCCUUGCAUUCCCUCUUUUCCCCUCCCCAACCCUCAUCUUUUCUUGCCUCCCUCCCCUCCCCCCACUCCUUGUCUUAAAGCAGCUGGAGAUGAGCGCCGAGGAGCUGGGUCUGGAAGACAAAACAAAACAAAAAAAAGACUUUGAGGAACGGUCUGCCUGAAGGCUUCGGGAAGGGGACAAAGAGAACAGGCCGGGGUAGUUAUUUGUAUAAAAAGUGGGAUAUGGCGUUUUUAACGUUUGGGGGACGUCCGCAGCUUCCGCAGGGGCAGAAGGUAAGGCGCUUGUGCUCGCUAUGGCGCCGGCAGCACCAAGGACAGCGCCCAGGUCGGUGAGCGGGACGUGCAGCCACCCGAGGGCUUGUCACCCAGCCUGGCCUGUCAGGUUGGCAGGGGGCAGGGGGUUCCCUUCCCCCUCUUCUCUCCGAGUAAAUACAAUUUAAACCUGCCUGUAGUGACUCUCUUUGCAGGAGCGAAGCUGGAAUCACAGGCUAAGACUUCCCUGCAAUGCAGGGCUGGCACAAUGAACAGAUUGCAGAUUUUGAAAACAACCAAAAUUCAUUAAAGUCAGUUAACAGAAAUAUAUACUUGUAGCCCAGUUUGAGUUUUCUAACAUAUGAUGGUAUAGGAAAUGAAGAGAUACAGGGCCUGAAAUGUGAAGGUCAAAUACUCCUUGGAAAGGAGAAUUUGAAAUCUGUUGGGAUGAAAAGUCCAGGGAAAUAUAGUUUUUGUUAAGUUUGGACACAAACAAUUGCCUUGUCAUCUUUCGGUUCAGUAUUCCCUAUGUGUAACUGCAAUGAUUGAAAAGGCAUCUGAAUUAACUUUAAAUUGAUUUAAAAGUUGCGGAGCAGAUUCACCACAACCUUGAAUAAAAUCAGAUGUUUUCCCUUCAUUUAAAAUGUAAUAUAUUUUUCGCUUUAGAUUUUAAUGAUUGAUUUGGAAUAGAUUUUCUAUAUCAUUAAACAUGUUUAUGCAAACAAGAACUC